rnacentral:rRNA from 1 species
AACGUAGGGGACAAGCGUUAUCCGGAUUUACUGGGCGUAAAGCGCCCGUAGGCGGCCUGCCAAGUUGGACGUGAAAGCUCCUGGCUUAACUGGGAGAGGCCGUUCAAAACUGUCAAGCUAGAGUCUGGAAGAGGAGAGCGGAAUUCCCGGUGUGGUGGUGAAAUGCGUAGAGAUGUGGAGGAACACCAGUGGCGAAGGCGGCUUUCUGGUCUGUAACUGACGCUGAGGCGCGAAAGCGUGGGGAGCAAACAGG